CCUUUUUUACAAAUGCUAGAAAUGAAGUAUGUAUAUGUGAAAUAAUGUGAAAUGAAACAAUGAAUUUGUGCUAACAAUAUUAAAUUUUCAAAAUUCAAAUAAAUUCUUAAUGUGAUACGCAAUGUUGGAAUUUGAUCAAAACUUAAGAACAAACCUAAAUUAAAUGAAGUAAUUGGAUUUUGUGUAACCAUGCAGGCAGUAUUAGUAUAUUACAAUGAUGACGUGAAGUUUGUAACAGAUUGAAGGAGACGUCUCUCUUCAACCCUGUAAAUGUUUUGGAAAAUAUAUUCAGCAUCAAACAUCGAAAAAAUGGUCGACUUAAAAGAUAAAAGAAUAAGACUUUAUGCCAGGAAUCUAAACAAUUCUGCUGUUGAUGCAUAACUCAAGGAUUACCGAACUGGCGAGCUGGAUUGAAGGCUAUUGUAGGUGCCGACCUGGUCCCAAUCGUAUUGUCGCAUCGCAUCAAUAUGAGCGGCGAUGAGGGUUAUUAUAUCCAAAGAUGGCCAGAUGGAUCUGCCAGCCUCGCACAAGUAUUGUGGGAUGCCAACGAGGAGACCAAUUUGACCGACCGACGAGCCUCGUGUUGGUUUUUGUGUGCGAUUUAAGUAAGCGACGUGAAGUAAAUAAGUUGCAAAUAAUAAGCAUCAAUUAAGUGCGUA